GGAAAUGUAGCUCAGCUGGUAGAGUGCUUGCCUCACAUGUACAAGGCCCUGGGUUCAAUCCCCAGCACCA
rnacentral:tRNA from 1 species